rnacentral:rRNA from 1 species
CUUGGCUCAGGAUGAACGCUAGCGACAGGCCUAACACAUGCAAGUCAGGGGCAGCACAAGGAGCAAUCUGAGGUGGCGACCGGCGCACGGGUGAGUAACACGUAUGCAACCUGCCUGUAAGCGGGGAAUAACCCGUUGAAAGACGGACUAAUACCGCAUAAUACUAAAUUACUGCAUGGUAAUUUAUUUAAACAUUUAUGGCUUACAGAUGGGCAUGCGCAUGAUUAGCUAGUUGGAGAGGUAACGGCUCCCCAAGGCAACGAUCAUUAGGGGUUCUGAGAGGAAGGUCCCCCCACACUGGUACUGAGACACGGACCAGACUCCUACGGGAGGCAGCAGUGAGGAAUAUUGGUCAAUGGACGAGAGUCUGAACCAGCCAAGUCGCGUGCAGGAAGAAUUGUCCUAUGGAUUGUAAACUGCUUUUGCAGGGGAAUAAAGUGCAUCACGUGUGAUGUUUUGUAUGUACUCUGCGAAUAAGGAUCGGCUAACUCCGUGCCAGCCGCCGC